rnacentral:rRNA from 1 species
UGGGGAAUUUUGGACAAUGGGCGCAAGCCUGAUCCAGCAAUGCCGCGUGCAGGAUGAAGGCCUUCGGGUUGUAAACUGCUUUUACACCGGAGAAAACCUCCCCUCGUGAGGGGAGCUGAUAGUAUGGUGGGAAUAAGCAUCGGCUAACUUCGUGCCAGCAGCCGCGGUAAUACGUAGGGUGCGAGCGUUAAUCGGAAUUACUGGGCGUAAAGCGUGCGCAGGCGGUUAUAUAAGACAGGUGUGAAAUCCCCGGGCUCAACCUGGGACCUGCAUUUGUGACUGUAUAGCUGGAGUACGGAAGAGGGGGAUGGAAUUCCGCGUGUAGCAGUGAAAUGCGUAGAUAUGCGGAGGAACACCGAUGGCGAAGGCAAUCCCCUGGACCUGUACUGACGCUCAUGCACGAAAGCGUGGGGAGCAAACA